GAUGAACGCUGGCGGCGUGUCUAAGGCAUGCAAGUCGAACGGAGAAAUUGGAUUCGCAAGAAUUUGAUUUCUUAGUGGCAAACGGGUGAGUAACACAUUGGUAACCUGCCCCGAAGUUCAGAAUAACGUUCCGAAAGGAACGCUAAUACUGGAUGUGUCCACGGAUCAUAAGGUCCGUGAGUAAAGCACAAAAGGCGCUUCGGGAGGGAUCUAUGUCUUAUCAGCUAGUUGGUGAGGUAACGGCUCACCAAGGCUAUGACGAGUACCGGGUGUGAGAGCAUGACUCGGCUCACUGGGACUGAGACACUGCCCAGACUCCUACGGGAGGCAGCAGUAGGGAAUCUUCCGCAAUGGACGAAAGUCUGACGGAGCAACGCCGCGUGAGUGAUGAAGGCUUUCGGGUCGUAAAACUCUGUUGUUAGGGAAGAACAAGUGCUAGUUGAAUAAGCUGGCACCUUGACGGUACCUAACCAGAAAGCCACGGCUAACUACGUGCCAGCCGCCGCCGUAA
rnacentral:rRNA from 1 species